ensembl:misc_RNA Metazoa_SRP Metazoan signal recognition particle RNA
GCUGGGCGUGGUGGCUCACGCCUGUAAUCCAAGUACUUUGGAGGCCAAGGCGGGUGGAUCACCUGAGGUCAGGAGUUCAAGACCAGCCUGACCAACAUGGUGAAACCCCAUCUUAU